rnacentral:lncRNA from 10 species
UUACAGGCGUGAGCCACCGCACCCGCCUGGCUGCCUCUGUUUUCUUCUCACCUGUGACGUCUCUUCAUCUUCCGAGGCAUCAUGCAUGUCUGGCCCCUCGGGCCUCUCCAAAGCCCUUCCCCUGGAGGCCCACGGCGGCCAGAUCCACACCUGUGUCCUCUGUGCUCACCCCACUCCCUGGAAAGAUGCCCCACCUCACCUCCACGCUAUGCUCUCCAGGGCUUAACCCCACCCACAGGCGGCCCUGAACCUGCCUGGCUCCUCCCUCUGUGGAAUUUUCCAGCUUGAAGUAUCAGGGUGAGCCCCGGAAGCUGGCACAACCGUCCCCCAGCUCAUACAGCCAGGGCUGUGGACCCACAGCUGCAGUACCUGAGCUCAAACUCUGCGAACAGGACGUCGAAGUGCCUCAGCGCUUCCCUCAUCUUCUCUGUCACAGGCCAGCUCGUGUUCCCGGUCCCCGCAGGAGGUUUUUCUUACAUUCAGAGCAAUCGUGAGGGCGAUAACCGAUGUCCCCCAAUGUGACCCACGGGGUCCUCACAGGGCCCCAGGAGCAGGGAGGGCAGGGCAUGGCAGGGCAGGCCACAGGGAUGAAGUUCAAGGAGCUUGGAGCUUCCAGGCUCCACAAUCAGGUCUGUGCUCCCAGGGAUGAAGCAGCCGGGCUGAUCCGGGCCCGAGGUCCCCAGCCUAUCUAGGGAGCCACAGACACCACCUGUCAAGUUGCUCACUGCCAGAGAAACGCAACCUUCCCCGGAACGCAGACUCAUCAGUGUGAGAGUCCCUGGGCUCCUGGGCAGGUAAGGAGGGCUCCUCCGCACCCACAAAUCCACCCAUGUCUGCCCUGGGUGCUGCGAGGCAGCUCCCCAGCGUGCGCUCAGCAGGAUGAUCAAGUGAUGCAGGACAAGAAGCCAUUUCCCAGGUGACAGAAUGAGACGGCGCUGAUCGCCCAGGCCCAAGCUGCAGGUGGGCACAGAGCUUGGGGCACCAGGACCACACAAGGAGCUGUGCCCACCCCUGUGCAUGCAUGCCCCUGCCAGGCCAGCCGGGCACAGAACACGCUCCAUCUCAUGACUGCCCCAGGACCCACUCCACGGAGGUGGAAACUGAGGCUGGGGAGGAGGGAGAACCUGCCCGCGGGCCCCUGUAACUAACCCAAGCCUCGGCAGAGGACACCCCAACCAGGUGGCUCAGAAGGUGGGGUGGGCAGGGUGGACACAGGGACGGGGCAGCGUGGGAUGAAGACUCCGCACCCCAGGGAUUCCUAGAAAGGGGAGGCGGGCAGGAUGGGGACGGCACAAUAGAGAGGGUGGCGGUGUCGGGGCUGAGGUCAGGCUCGGGAGCACGGCAAGGGGAGGAGGCUGGGGAGUCCGCAUGGUGGGGGCCUGGGGGAGACUGUUCCCGCCACCUUGAAGGGCACCUUCCUCUCGGUGCCUCAGUUUCCUGAUUGGGAGAUGAAGAUGAAGAUGACAGGCUAUUGCCACAUGUGGCCUGCGUGGGGCUGCAGCACGGCUCCCCAGCCCCUGCUGCUGCCCAUGCUGCAGGGCCGGAGGGGAACACUUGUUCCUGAUGUGGGCAUUACUGCCAUUAAAAACCACUUUUAGGUCCUGGCUGUCUGGGGGCCUGUGAACCUCAUAAAAACCACAUGGGAAAUUUCAUUUGUAUGUAUAGUUUUGGGGGCACCAGUUCAUGGCUUUCCCAGAUCCUCCAGGGGUGCACGGCCUACCAGGCUCAGACCACACCACGUAACCCAGAGUGGACGGAGCUCUUGGAGGAGACACCAGGUCCCGGC